GUAUUUAUGAAGAGUCCCACAAUAGGACGAAACGGCUGUCCAGUGU
rfam:Schistosoma rodhaini strain Burundi genome assembly, scaffold: SROB_scaffold0014884